AGAGUUUGAUCCUGGCUCAGGACGAACGCUGGCGGCGCGCUUAACACAUGCAAGUCGUACGGGAUCAGGGCUUCGGCUCUGGUUCAGUGGCGAACGGGUGCGUAACACGUGGGCGACCUGCCGGGGCGCGGGGGACAACCGAGGGAAACUUCGGCUAAUACCGCAUGCGCUCAGGCGGCUUCAUGGCUGCUUGAGGAAACCCGCUUUCAAGCGGGGUGCUCCGAGGGGCCCGCGGCGUAUCAGGUAGUUGGUGAGGUAACGGCUCACCAAGCCGACGACGCGUAGCUGGUCUGAGAGGACGACCGGCCACAUUGGGACUGAGAUACGGCCCAGACUCCUACGGGAGGCAGCAGUGGGGAAUCUUGCGCAAUGGACGAAAGUCUGACGCAGCGACGCCGCGUGCGGGAGGAAGCCUUUCGGGGUGUAAACCGCUGUCACCGGGGAAGAACGUCAGUGGGAGGAAAUGCCCAUUGAGUGACGGUACUCGGGGAGGAAGCACCGGCUAACUCUGUGCCAGCAGCCGCGGUAAUACAGAGGGUGCGAGCGUUGUUCGGAAUUACUGGGCGUAAAGCGCGCGCAGGCGGCCUUUUAAGUCUCACCGUUCAAGCCCGGAGCUCAACUCCGGUCCGCGGGGGAUACUGGGAGGCUAGGGACAUGUAGGGGCGAGCGGAAUUCCGGGUGUAGCGGUGGAAUGCGUAGAGAUCCGGAAGAACACCGGGGGCGAAGGCGGCUCGCUGGGCAUGGUCCGACGCUGAGGCGCGAAAGCGUGGGGAGCGAACAGGAUUAGAUACCCUAGUAGUCC
rnacentral:rRNA from 1 species